rnacentral:lncRNA from 1 species
CCAAACGGGUGAUUCGAUAAGAAAUGGGGGAGGGCGACGGCUCUCUAACAGAGGACCCUCAAGCGAUGAGUUGAAACUCCUGUGUGGGCUUGCGGAGGCCCCGCCUUGGAGCAAGGAAUGAGCUUUCGUUAUCCCCCAAAGCUGUGAGACUCCCGGGGAAGAUGGGUCGGUGGGUAAACCGCGUUGUGGCCGGUGACUUUCACGGACCGGCAUCCUCUUCCCCCUCUUCACACAAAUCUUCGCGUUUCCCAAACGGGAGGACAGCCCUGCCCGGUAUCCAGGUUCCCCCAAGCCUCCAGCUCUCCCAACUGGUCACGUCUUCUCCGUGAGACAAUCUGCC